AAAUCAGGGCUAUCAAAAAUCGAGAGCGGACCUCUAUCCCCCAUUAACCCACCGAUCAAAACAGUCCGCGCACAUGGAACGCUGGGUUUUUCGGUGGUGGUGGUCCCUCGCCACUCACUCAGCUUGUCAGUCCCCCUGGUGUCUUCAGUGAGAGGAGUUACCGGUUUGGUACCGGCAGGGAGGAAAUCGCCUCGGAAUCUCUGGAGGUGGCCUCCUAGAAAGAUCGCCGGGAGGGGAGGAGCCCUGGUUGUCCUGGAAGGAAAGCAUGGCCCCAUCCGGGAAGUCCCGGCUCGCCGGGAGGCUGGGGUUGGCGCGGCCGGAGGGGCUCCGAGUGUGCAAGUGACAGACGCGCAGCCGGACGGACACGCGUGGGCACGGCCUCGCCCCACCACGCGCGGGGAGGGCGCUGAAGCUGACCAGGGGCCAUCGGUGCCUGGCGGGCGCGGCGGCCGCCGGGGCUCCGCUGCUGCACCGACGGGCGCGCCGGGGCCCGGAGCCCUGGGCCUCGCCGGGCGCGGCGGCCCCGCCCCUCCGGAGCCCGGGCUUCCGCCUGAGCCCGGCGGCGGCCGUGACCGAGGCGGUGCCGCGCCUUCCGCCUGCGCCCGGGAGCCGCCGCCCGCCCGCGCCCCUGCGCGCCGCGCCCACAGGCCGCGGGGAGGGGGCGCCGGACCGAGGGGACGCGGCCACCCGCCGGAGACCCUCCUGGAGCCGGGGACGGGAUGGGGCGGCGAGCCCCGCGUUUCACUCGCUCCGGGGAUCGGCCACUCGGCACCUGCGGCCGCUCGGGAGCGGAGACUUGGCGGGGCCAUGGCCACGGCGAGCUGGGAGGGAGAACGGAGCCAGCGGAGCCUCCUUCCUCUCCCAGACUCGCAGCGACCCUGGAGGGCCCCACCGCCAGCGCGGGCGGGCGGAACCCUCGGAGGGGACCAACUGGAUCCCGGAUCUCCUGCUGCCACCGGCAGUUGGGGGCGCCAGCACCAGCGCUCUGAGCGUGUAGUGGGACUUUUCCGUUGUCGUCCUGAAGACCCUCCGCCGGGGCGUCUUCCGGCUUAA
rnacentral:lncRNA from 1 species